CGUCAGCUCGUGUUGUGAAAUGUUGGGUUAAGUCCCGCAACGAGCGCAACCCUUAUCCUUUGUUGCCAGCGGUUAGGCCGGGAACUCAAAGGAGACUGCCAGUGAUAAACUGGAGGAAGGUGGGGAUGACGUCAAGUCAUCAUGGCCCUUACGAGUAGGGCUACACACGUGCUACAAUGGCGCAUACAAAGAGAAGCGACCUCGCGAGAGCAAGCGGACCUCAUAAAGUGCGUCGUAGUCCGGAUUGGAGUCUGCAACUCGACUCCAUGAAGUCGGAAUCGCUAGUAAUCGUAGAUCAGAAUGCUACGGUGAAUACGUUCCCGGGCCUUGUACACACCGCCCGUCACACCAUGGGAGUGGGUUGCAAAAGAAGUAGGUAGCUUAACCUUCGGGAGGGCGCUUACCACUUUGUGAUUCAUGACUGGGGUGAAGUCGUAACAAGGUAACCGUAGGGGAACCUGCGGUUGGAUCACCUCCUUA
rnacentral:rRNA from 1 species